AGGUUGGUUCUGCCCCAUCCUCAAUCAGAAGUGGGUGUGGGGUGGUUCUUCUGGGAUGAAUCAGAGAAUUCUGAUUUUCUCCAGUCCCCCUCCACCCCCGGGGUCAUCCAGGAAACUGAGUCACAACAUGAAACUCACCCCACCCUGAGAGGGCCCCUGCUCUGCUGUCAAAGGAGCCCUGAGUUAUGACAGUCCAUGAACUACAGCAGCCACUCUGUGCGACCUUGGUUUUCAACAUUCCUCUGUGGGACAAGCUGGGAAAGUCACAAACCUCACAAGAAACUUAACAAGGCUCAAGCAUCUUCCUGGAUUGAUGAUCUGCUUUAAAUGCAUCUUGAGUGGCUGGAGAGACAGCUCAUUAGGUAAAGCACUCAUUGCACAAGCAUGGAGGAUACGAGUUCGGAUCUUUGGAACCCAUCUAAAAGUCAGGCAGGUCAGGCGGUGGUGGUGCUCGCCUUUAAUCUCAGCA